ACGGAGGGUGCAAGCGUUACUCGGAAUCACUGGGCGUAAAGAGCGUGUAGGCGGGUAUAUAAGUCAGAAGGGAAAUCCAAUAGCUUAACUAUUGAACUGCUUUUGAAACUGGGUACCUAGAAUGUGGGAGAGGUAGAAGGAAUUUCUGGUGUAGGAGUAAAAUCCGGUGAGAUCAGGAGGAAUACCGGUGGCGAAGGCGAUUUACUGGAACAGUACUGACGCUGAGGCGCGAAAGCGUGGGGAGCAAACAG
rnacentral:rRNA from 1 species